AUCCUUGAAAACUGAAAGCGCCUCGAAAGAAGCCACUCCUGAUCAUCGAGAUUUGGCUGUGUCUUUGCCUGAUGAGAAGCAAAUCGCCAGUGGUAGGCCAAGCUAAGAAAAGUCCUUAUCGACUCUAUAAUUAACCUGGCUAAUCAUUAACGAGGCCGGUGACAUAGUUAAUGCCACCUAAUUGAAGGUUCUAUCCCAUGGCCCAUCCUGAGGGUCGAUCUUUGUAAAUUAGUCCCAGGAGGUCACAGUGACUGGGGAACCCACUCAGUAUUCAUGACCCAAGAACAAGCUGUUGACAAUCCAAGACAAGUUACCUCUACGGCCCCUGGAUGUGCUAGCUUAAGUCGUAGGAGAGCACUCGCCAGUGUUUUAAGAAGCUAGGGCCUGUAUAUUUGUCCUGGCCCCAGUCACAGGAGCCCCACUCUUAAUUACAAAUGUGGUUUCGCCCCUGAUUAUUUCUGUGCUUCCUGGGGCUGUGAGACCACAGGAGACACCUACUGGAAACCCACCUCUAACUGGGACCUAAUAAAGGUCCAGAGCAGGCCCGAUCAUGCUGCCUGUGAUAGUUCCAACCAAACUUCCUGAGGAUGGUGCAACACCUUAGAGAUCUCCUUUACUGACUCAGGGAAAAAAAAUUUAAUUGGGAAAAUACACGAGGGGCUGAGUGGGGUUUACGCAUCUAUAGAGAAGAAAGAGAUUUCGGAGUGACUUUCAAAAUCCAGUUACUUAAGAACACCCCAUCCUUAGGGUGGGCCGCUAUAGGACCCAACCUUAGUCUGCAUCCCUCAUCACCAAAAAGACCAAGUCCCCCACAGGCUGUUACCCUGGGUCCACUUGGGACUACUACAUUCCAGCCUACUUUACCUGCUGGAUCUCUCUCCUCCUCAGAAUUGAUUUUAUCCUUGGUAAAUGCAUCAAUUGCUACCAUGCAUGCAGCUAAUGCUACUCAAUAUGAAGAAUGUUGGGUGUGCUUUUCUCCUCAACCUCCCUUUUACGAAGGGGUGGCAACAUUUGGAUCAAUUAUUGCAAUCAAUGAUUCCAGCAGACUUGGAUGGCACCCUGAGAACCAUGACGGGCUCACUCUGAGUCAGGUGUCCAGCCUAGGCUUAUGCCUUUUGGGGCCUUCCAUGCUUCCCCCUCAGGCCUUAUUAGAGGUUUGCAAUCAGACUUUUAUGGUAAAUGCCACCUCUCGAUACCUUGGGGCACCUAAUGGUACUUAUUUAGCAUGCUCUACUGGACUUACAACCUAUGUGGUUACCCAGACCUUUUUAGAUGACAGAGAUUAUUGUGUCUGGUUCAGCUUCUCCCAAAACUGACAGUGCACCAUGCAGAGGACCUCCUCCAAUUCUGGGAGAGAGGCACAGACCUACCCCGUGAUAAGAGAGAGCCUAUUUCUGCAGUGACCUUGGCAGUAAUCCUGGGCUUAGGAGCCGCAGGUGCAGGAAGUGGCAUUGCCUCUUUGGUCACCUCCCAAUAGCAAUACACUCAGCUUCACCUUGCUGUGGACAGAGAUAUACAAGAGCUACAAAGGGGCUUCAAAAAUGUAAAAGACUCCCUGGUCUCUCUGUCUGAGGUAGUAUUACAGAACAGGCAAGGCCUUGAUUUAGUGUUCCUAAAAGAGGGAGGGCUAUGUGCAGCCCUCAAAGAAGAAUGUUGUUUUUAUUGAUAGCAUAGACAAAGUUAGAACUAGUUUAGAAGAGAGAAAAGGUAACAGAGAGAAACAGGAAUAUUGGUAUCAAAAUUGGUUUUCUACUUCUCCUCGGCUCACUACCCUACUUCCUAGUCUUUUGGGACCUUUCAUGGGUAUUUUACUGCUUUUGUCUUUUGGCCCUUGGGCCUUUAAUAGAUUAACCAGUUUUGUUAAGUUACAGAUUGAAGCCGCUUUAAGCAAGCCGGUUGCAGUUCACUACCAUCAACUGGAUAUCCGAGACUCAGACGAUGCAGAAAGAGCAGCUGCUGGUUUCCAGGUUUCCACCCUUGCUACAAAUGCAGAGUCCCCUUGGUUCCUCAAGCCGUGGAGACAAUAGAGAUGAGGAGGGUGACCUCUAGCUCCUAAUAUAGCCUAAGAGCCACAAACUGUGGUGUUACGAUUGGCAUAAUUCUUGUAGAGGCCUUGCUAAAUCUGAGGUUGACAAUUCUCCUUUGGGAGCUGCACAGGACUCAGAACUGUGCAUACUGGUUUGUGAUAAUAUGAAUCCAGUAUGGGCACCAGCGUGGGUGCAAGGCUAAGCACUGCAGGGGAAGGUCCAACUAGACCGUUUCUGAGUUCCCUGAGAGACACACCUGGUUUACACGGAGGUUGGUAUCUAGUUCCAGUUACAAGCAAAGAAUCUUUCUAAGGCUCUGCCUCCCCUCCCC
rnacentral:lncRNA from 1 species